AAAAAUUUUGUUAAUAUAAGGGUUUUGAAAACCUUUGGAGGGAACUUAGCUUCCCAACUUUAC
rnacentral:tRNA from 1 species